CAGACCAGAGAGAAGAAGACAAACGAAGAAGAUGGAGUUGUGAUUUCUCAGUUCCGAAUGGCGGCCAUAUUGGAAUUUUCUUUACUGUCGCUAGUUUCACACUACUUGAUUUCUCAUGUUGCAGUAAGCUAAACGAUUUCAUCUCUUACGUGACUUGUUGUUCUUGCACGUAACUGUGUAACCGUCUGACUGAUAAAGAAGUUGUUAAAUGUCUUUACGUUUAGAAACAUAAUCAAGCAAACUCAUCCAAGCAGAUGCGAAUAGCCUACAAUGUCAGUACUCAAACCACCAGUAGCAGGCUUAGGACUAGAGUUUGCCAGUCAGACCACUACACCUUUGCCAGCACCACCACCCAGCAAGCUUCAUCAACUCCAGCCAUGCCGAGUUUACCAAUCAGACCUACACCUCUGUCAAAUUCGCUCACAACGCUGCCAGUAACACCCCAGCAAGGUAGAACUGCAUUUUCAUUAAUCUGGCACCAAUAUCAAGGGAGAAACAAGCCAUGAAUGUCUGUCACAACUUCUUUGCAUCUUUACUUUCCUUACAUCUGAAGAGUGUGUUACAUAUAUCAUUAUUAAAAAUAAUUUUAAUAAAUUGUUUAAGCAUGUACAAUAAAUAAAGCAUGUAAAUGAGCAUGUA